GUCCAGUUCACUAUGUCGGUACCUGUGUGUAGGUGCAGUUCACUAUGUCAGUACCUGUGUGUAGGUCCAGUUCACUAUGUCAGUACCUGUGUGUAGGUGCAGUUCACUAUGUCAGUACCUGUGUGUAGGUGCAGUUCACCAUGUCAGUACCUGUGUGUAGGUGCAGUUCACCAUGUCAGUACCUGUGUGUAGGUCCAGUUCACUAUGUCGGUACCUG